UCUCUCUCCUCUCUCUCUCUCUCUCUCUCUAACAUAACCUGCCAACACACCACCGCCUUAUCCCCAUCGUCACCACCCCCAAAACAAAUAUAACAGCAACGAUUGGUCACUUCUAUCUCCAACCAUUCGGGCUUCAGAAACAGAGACAACAACUCGACAUAUUCAACGGUAGGAUUUUUACCUGCGCACAACGGAGAUUGAAGUUGGCGAUGUGGAGAUGUGUACGGUGGCAAAGACGUGCGGUGGCGGCGGUGCUCGGAGUCGUUGCAGUCUUCAGAAAACACAAUGGCGGCGGUAAGGUUUGGUUUUUGGGUGGUUCCGUUUCUUUUUAUACGAUAAUAACGGUGGAGGAAACAAGCUUGGUUCACAUGGUUGUUAAGGUGGUGAAUAAGUGGUGGGUGGCGGUAGGGCUUCGGUGAUCGGUCUCCGCCUGGAACUUGACACGAAAGAGAUCUACUACAGAUUUGACAAGUGAAUGGUAACCCAAGUAUUUAUUUAUAAAGCAUGAAGGAAGCUUGGUUACGUACAAAUUUGGUAAGAUGGAAUGGUGGGGGUUUGCUUUGAGUGUUGUAAGGUAAACAAAUAGCCAAAGGUACAUGGGAUGGUGUGAGUGCAAUAUAUUAAAUUUCAUCCGAAAACACAUCUAAUUAAGGGUUCACAGAUAAAAAAUUAACUAAACAUAUUUGUAUAAACAAGUCUAAUAUAUUAAAUUUCAUCCGAAAACACAUCUAAUUAAGGGUUCACAGAUAUACUAAUUAGUUAUAUUUAUAUAAAUACAACUAUUUAUGUAUUUAUUAAAAUUUAAACGAACAUAUAUAAACGAACGUAUAUAAACAAACGUUCACGAACAUAAAUGAACGAACAUAAAAGAAUGUUCACGAACAUAAACGAACGAACAUAAGGUGUGUUCAUGUUCGUUCAUUUAAUUAAACAAACAAAUUUUUUUGUUCGUGUUCAUUCAUUUAUUAAAUAAACGAACAUAAACGAACUUCCCGCCAAACAAGUUCAUGAACAGUUCAUGAACGUUCGGUUCGUUUACAGACCUAAGAGAGAGGGAGAAAGAGAGAGAGAGAGUUAGAAAGAGAAAGAGAGUGAAGUUUUUUUUAUUUAUACUUUAUUCUUUUAAUUUUUAUAUAAUGUUUUAUUUUUAAGUUUUGUAUAAAAUGGCCCUCUAAUAAAAUUUCUUUACAAAAUAACCCCUAGGAAGGUGAAAUGACAACAAUGCCCUCAUGUGCAAGGCACAUGAC